rnacentral:rRNA from 1 species
UACGUAGGCAGCGAGCGUUGUUCGGAGUUACUGGGCGUAAAGGGUGUGUAGGCGGUUGCUUAAGUUUGGUGUGAAAUCUCCCGGCUCAACUGGGAGGGUGCGCCGGAAACUGGAGUGCUUGAGCGUGGGAGAGGAAAGCGGAAUUCCUGGUGUAGCGGUGAAAUGCGUAGAUAUCAGGAGGAACACCUGUGGUGUAGACGGCUUUCUGGACCAUAGCUGACGCUGAGACACGAAAGCGUGGGUAGCAAACAGG